UUACAAAGCCCACGGAUCAUACCACACUGUUCUUUCUGCGAAACAGUUGAGAAUUACCAGUAAUUGGGACUGUUUACAUUCAAUGCCAUCCUGACAGAAGCAGCUUUAUUAUAUUGCAGAGGGAUAAUUAAUAUAUGAUGGGGAUUAAAGAUUGCAUCACAGCAGUGUCAUAGGAUUCAUAAGUAUGAGAGAGAUCUGCCCGGAAUAUGUGAAGAGAAUUUGGAGGACACAUUGGGAACUGCAUGGAUCUCAGUUAUAGGAGAUAUUACCCAACAUGACAGGGACUGAAAAGAAGCAGGCAACACUCUUGAAAGCAUCAAGGCAUUUGUAUUUUGUCUCUGGCUCAAGUCCCCACCCCGUGGAUCUUUGCAGAUCUCUCUCUUCAUAUGAGACCAUUACCAAAGAACUCAGAAGAAUAAAUUAUAAAAUGAUAAAGGUUAGCCAAAGGAGUGAUAUAAGGGUAUGAGAGCAUGAAUGCAAUUACUGAG
rnacentral:lncRNA from 1 species